rnacentral:miRNA from 1 species
CUUUGGAUGGAGAAAGAGGGGG